UAGCUCAUUUUAGAGAUGAAGAAACUAAGGCAAACAGGGUAAAUUGUCUUGACCAGGAUCACAAAGCUGAUUGUUCACCACCAGUUGGGAAACCCUGGAGUCGUGAGUGAGGCUGGACCCUGGCAGCUGCUCUCCUAAAACAGCUGAAUUACAUCACUUCAAUAUUGUGCCUUUUCUCUGAUACUGUCACCAUUCUAAUGUGAGAAACAUACAAUAACCCUAGGCAAAGCAGCUAGGUGGAACAGUGGACAGACCAGUGGUCCUAGAGUCAGGAAGACCAGAGUUCCAAUCUUGCUUCAGAUACUGGCUGUAUGACCUUGGAAGACAAAAGAAAACACUGGAUAUUGCCAAGGAGGAGGCAAAAUGUGAGCAUGAGACCCUUUGUCCCAAAAGUGAGUAAGUUAUCUCUCUCAAACAGAUUAGUUGAGUUUGGUUGAAU